rnacentral:hammerhead_ribozyme from 1 species
CAAAAGUCUGGGCUAAGCCCACUGAUGAGCCUUUGAGAUAAGGCGAAACUUUUG